GACGAACGCUGGCGGCGUGCUUAACACAUGCAAGUCGAACGGAAAGGCCCUGCUUUUGUGGGGUGCUCGAGUGGCGAACGGGUGAGUAACACGUGAGUAACCUGCCCUUGACUUUGGGAUAACUUCAGGAAACUGGGGCUAAUACCGGAUAGGAGCUCCUGCUGCAUGGUGGGGGCUGGAAAGUUUCGGCGGUUGGGGAUGGACUCGCGGCUUAUCAGCUUGUUGGUGGGGUAGUGGCUUACCAAGGCUUUGACGGGUAGCCGGCCUGAGAGGGUGACCGGCCACAUUGGGACUGAGAUACGGCCCAGACUCCUACGGGAGGCAGCAGUGGGGAAUAUUGCACAAUGGGCGGAAGCCUGAUGCAGCAACGCCGCGUGCGGGAUGACGGCCUUCGGGUUGUAAACCGCCUUCGCCUGUGACGAAGCGUGAGUGACGGUAAUGGGUAAAGAAGCACCGGCUAACUACGUG
rnacentral:rRNA from 1 species